AAAAAAAAAAAAAAAGAGCAAACAGACAAACCACUUCAAGAGUAAUCCUCAGGAUAAGGAUGAUCGUCAUCAAUCCUCAUAAUCAUCUUGAUCCAGCUCAAGAUCAACCCCAACAUCCACCCGCAUAUCUAUAUUUGAAGUAAAAAAAUCCAAACCAGCACGGAGCAAUGUAGAAAAUUGCAAAGCAUCGAUAAACAUACAAACUAUAUAAACAUACAAACUAUUUAUUAAAAGAAAACUGCUGCUUGUUGGGAGGAUGCUGUAACACCUUUAUAUUAGAAGUUGAGCUCCUCACACCAUCUCCAUCUAGAAU
rnacentral:misc_RNA from 1 species